GACGAACGCUGGCGGCGUGCUUAACACAUGCAAGUCGAACGGAAAGGCCCUGCUUUUGUGGGGUGCUCGAGUGGCGAACGGGUGAGUAACACGUGAGUAACCUGCCCUUGACUUUGGGAUAACUUCAGGAAACUGGGGCUAAUACCGGAUAGGAGCUACUGCUGCAUGGUGGGGGUUGGAAAGUUUCGGCGGUUGGGGAUGGACUCGCGGCUUAUCAGCUUGUUGGUGGGGUAGUGGCUUACCAAGGCUUUGACGGGUAGCCGGCCUGAGAGGGUGACCGGCCAGAUAGGCUGGGAGUGAGGGACCGGACAGCUUCGGGCGGGAGGAGUGGGGAGGGUAGAAUAAUGGGCGGAAGACUGAUUCAGCAACGCAUGGUGCGGGAGGGCGGCCUUCGGGUGGUAUACAGAGUUCGCUUGUGACGAAGCGUGAGUAACGGUAAGGGGGAAAGAAGCACCGGCUAACUACGU
rnacentral:rRNA from 1 species